rnacentral:tRNA from 1 species
AAUUUAAAAGUAUAAUACUAUUUUAGUAACUUCAACACUACGCUUUAAAUUUAAGCUAUUUAAAU